rnacentral:lncRNA from 1 species
UCGAUCAUACUUCAUUUAUGGAGCAGGCAAAGGGGAAGAAGAUCUUGAGUUCAAGGUGUGUUCCUAUCACCUCAAAAAAAGAUUAAAAAAACAGAAAAGAAAAGAUGGCUAAAAAUAGAAAUGCUAUCAAGUGAAAAAAUUAACGAGCCAUUUCAUCUUGUAAGUAGCACAAAUUUUGGGAAUUCACAAGCGUGCUCUCAUGUAACAACAAGUCCUACCCGAUUUUCACUCUCUCGUCUCCCUGUCUUUGGUGUCAAUUUUGAAUAUGUCCACCCUGUGAAAAAUCAGACGAAACAUCCUCGUUAUGCGUGCAAUUAACAAGAAGAAACAUCAGUGUUCUUCAUCAUCAUCAUCUGUCAUGAAUUCUUCCUUAUCCCUGCAAAAUCAAAACCAUAUUCUCUCAUUGAUCACACAUACACCAACAUCCCAAUGAACAAAAAUGGACGAGGAUAAAGAGGAAAUACUAAUCAUUUGAUCUUCCUGUCCUGUCCGUCAAGUUUCAACACAC